CUACGGGUGGCAGCAGUGGGGAAUAUUGGACAAUGGGCGAAAGCCUGAUCCAGCCAUGCCGCGUGUGUGAAGAAGGCCUUCGGGUUGUAAAGCACUUUCAGUGGGGAAGAAAGCCUUGGGGCUAAUACCCUCGAGGAAGGACAUCACCCACAGAAGAAGCACCGGCUAACUCCGUGCCAGCAGCCGCGGUAAUACGGAAGGUGCGAGCGUUAAUCGGAAUUACUGGGCGUAAAGCGCGCGUAGGCGGUCUGAUAAGCCGGUUGUGAAAGCCCCGGGCUCAACCUGGGAACGGCAUCCGGAACUGUCAGGCUAGAGUGCAGGAGAGGAAGGUAGAAUUCCCGGUGUAGCGGUGAAAUGCGUAGAGAUCGGGAGGAAUACCAGUGGCGAAGGCGGCCUUCUGGACUGACACUGACGCUGAGGUGCGAAAGCGUGGGUAGCAAACAGGAUUAGAUACCCUAGUAGUC
rnacentral:rRNA from 1 species